rnacentral:lncRNA from 1 species
CGCCCCUACACGCCUGGGCCGAACGGCAUAGGCCUCCUGCUCCCAGGCUGCACCUGCACAGCGUGUGACUGCACUGAAGACUGUAGAAAACUGUAACACAGGGUAUGGAAGCCACAGCAAUGAACAAGACACAAUCCUGGACCCCAUGAGCUCACAGUGAGUGACAGCAGCCACUACAGUGUUAACGAAAGUUUAAUUCGGAGGCCAAUGGGCUGGGAUGGCCCCAGCACUUUUAGUUCCUAUGAACAACUUAUGAAAUUUUCUGUCUCACCUCUGAAGCCCUAGAGAAGUGCUACACUGCUUGCAGUCUGGUGCUGCCCAAUUUAUGAACUGCUGUCUGUUCAAAUAAACUCCACAGAAUUUUAAUGUGCCUAAGUUGAUCUUUUAACAACAGAAAUGCCCAAACCUCAGGAAAACAAGGAUGGCUCACCCUAGAUAGCCAAGCAGGGCAUGAGACGACGUCCUGUGCAUGGGAGUCACCUAGCUGGUGAGUGAGCAGCUGGAUGUAGACCGUGCAUGCCAGAUUUUGUUUAAGGCUCUCCCAUGUGGGUGUGCAGCACAUGCACUGAUAUGAGCCACAUGGCCUCUUCCUGCCUGCAAAGCUUCCACUUGACACAUUUGCUGGCACUGAGCCAUCCUUGCAUUCCUGAGAUAAACCUUACAUGAUUGAGAGCCAUCACUGUGUUAAAAGUAUGGGCACAUGCAUAUUUAUUAGGUAUACAUAGGCAUACUUCUGUACCUGUAAAUGUCUAAUGUCUUAUUUAAUAUUUUCCAUCUGUUCCCAGCAGUCAAUCUGACCUAUAAUUUUCUUUUCUUAUUCUGUCCUUGGCCUGUUUUGUUACCAAGAAUAUAUCAUUCUCAUGUUAGCCAAGUAGCUUUCCCCUCUUUUGUAUUCCCUGGCACAUACUCACUCACUCUUUCUCUCUCUCUCUCUCAAGGAAAGAGAGAUCUAGUUAUUUAAAAUUAUGGAUUUAUUUACUGGUAGUAAGUUUAUUUGCAUUCUCACUGAAUUGUUCAAUUUUAUUUUUUAGACAAAUUGUCCUUUUUAUCUAGCUUUUUAAAUUUUACAUCAUAAAAUUGCUCAUUGUGUUAUAUUUUUUCAAAAAAUUAUAUUUCUAAUAGGCUUUAAAUUUUUUUUCUGAUUUGGUGAGUUUUGAUAGAGAUUGUCUAUUUUUAACUAACUAGCAUUUUGUUUUCUAUUUUGAUUAUUUUUUAUUUUAUAUUUAUCAUUUUCUUUCUCUUAUUUUAUUUAGCGUACUCUGUUCUUUUUCUAGCUCAUUUUGCUAUGUAAGUCAUUUAUUUUUAUUUUCCUUGUCAUUUUCCAAUAAAUACAUGUAUGAACUUUUAAGGUUGCAAUCUAAGUUGCAUUUUAGCUGUCUUCCUACAAAUACUGAUAUAAGUUCAUUUUAUAUUAAUUCCAAGUAUUUUACAAUAUUCAUUGCGGCACUGUUAAGUUAUGAAUUAUGGAGAAGAGUACUGUAUUGGUCAAUUUUCAUGCUGCUGAUAAAGACAUACCCAAGACUGGGCAAUUUACAAAAGAAAGAGACUUAUUGGACUUACGGUUCCAUGUAGCUGGGGAGGCCUCACAAUCAUGGUGGGAGAUGAAGGGCAUGUCUCACAUGGCAGCAGACAAGAGAAGAGAGCUUGUACAGGGAAACUCCCAUUUUUAAAACCAUCAGAUCUCAUGAGACUCAUUCACUAUCAAGACAACAGAGCAGGAAAGACCCACCCCCAAAAUUCAAUCACCUCCCAACAUGCUCUUUCCAUGACAUGUGGGGAUUGUGGGAGUUACAAUUCAAGAUGAGAUUUGGGUAGGGACACAGCCAAACCAUAUCAAGUGCUUUCUGUUGACAUUUGAUUAUUUUCAAGUAUAUGAGGAUGUUUGUUUAUAUUAUUUCUAACUCAACUGCAUUACAUUAUGAGGGAGUAGCCACAUCAUAUUUAUUCUUUAAAAUGUUUGUAAUUGAUUUUGUUACUCUUUGGGUUAUGCUUAAAAAGAGUGUUUAUUCUACACUUGGUAAUACAUAUUUAUCAUAUUACAUUUGUCGUUGUGUUGUUCAAAUCAUCUAUAUCCUCACUAAUUUGUCUGCUUGAGCAAUUCCUUUUCUGAGAAAAUAUACUGAAAUCUAUAAUUGUAGGUUUGUCAAUUUCUCCUUUUUAUUUUAUGAAAUUUAAUGCUAGUUGUAAAAAGCUUAUUAGUUCAUACUUAUUAUGCUCCUGAUUAAUUGGAUUUUUAACCUAUGUAGUGUUUCUUAUCUUUUAUUUUGUAUUUUGCCUUAACUAAAGUUUAUUAAAAUAAAGAUC